rnacentral:misc_RNA from 1 species
AAGUCGUAACAAGGUUUCCGUAGGUGAACCUGCGGAAGGAUCAUUACCGAGUUAGGGUCGCCCCGCGCGCCCGACCUCCAACCCUUUGUCUACCUGACCUUAUGUUGCUUCGGCAGGCCCGCCGCCCCUCUCGUGGGGGUGGCCGCCGGGGGUCCUUCGUGACCUCGGGCCCGCGCCUGUCGAUGGCCCAAUAAACUCUUGCUAUUAAACGUGUCGUCUGAGUAAAACAAACAAAAUUAAAACAAAACUUUCAACAACGGAUCUCUUGGUUCUG